AUUGAACGCUGGCGGCAGGCCUAACACAUGCAAGGAGAACGAGUGGCGGACGGGUGAGUAAUGUCUGGGAAAAGGACGGAUGGAGGGGGACAACCACGGGAAACGGUAGCUAAUACCGCAUACCAGCAGAUGUGCCCAGAUGGGAUUAGCUUGUUGGGGGGGUAACGGCUCACCAAGGCGACGAUCCCUAGCUGGUCUGAGAGGAUGACCAGCCACACUGGAACUGAGACACGGUCCAGACUCCUACGGGAGGCAGCAGUGGGGAAUAUUGCACAAUGGGCGCAAGCCUGAUGCAGCCAUGCCGCGUGUAUGAAGAAGGCCUUCGGGUUGUAAAGUACUUUCAGCGGGGAGGCUUUACCCUCAGAAGAAGCACCGGCUAACUCCGUGCCAGCCGCCGCGGUAAUUC
rnacentral:rRNA from 1 species